rnacentral:rRNA from 1 species
GAUUCGUCACACUAUCAUUAACUGAAUCCAUAGGUUAAUGAGGCGAACCGGGGGAACUGAAACAUCUAAGUACCCCGAGGAAAAGAAAUCAACCGAGAUUCCCCCAGUAGCGGCGAGCGAACGGGGAGGAGCCCAGAGCCUGAAUCAGCAUGUGUGUUAGUGGAAGCGUCUGGAAAGGCGCGCGAUACAGGGUGACAGCCCCGUACACAAAAGCGCAUGUGCUGUGAGCUCGAUGAGUAGGGCGGGACACGUGGUAUCCUGUCUGAAUAUGGGGGGACCAUCCUCCAAGGCUAAAUACUCCUGACUGACCGAUAGUGAACCAGUACCGUGAGGGAAAGGCGAAAAGAACCCCGGCGAGGGGAGUGAAAAAGAACCUGAAACCGUGUACGUACAAGCAGUGGGAGCACCCUUCGGGGUGUGACUGCGUACCUUUUGUAUAAUGGGUCAGCGACUUAUAUUCUGUAGCAAGGUUAACCGUAUAGGGGAGCCGGAGGGAAACCGAGUCUUAAUUGGGCGUUAAGUUGCAGGGUAUAGACCCGAAACCCGGUGAUCUAGCCAUGGGCAGGUUGAAGGUUGGGUAACACUAACUGGAGGACCGAACCGACUAAUGUUGAAAAAUUAGCGGAUGACCUGUGGCUGGGGGUGAAAGGCCAAUCAAACCGGGAGAUAGCUGGUUCUCCCCGAAAGCUAUUUAGGUAGCGCCUCGUGAAUUCAUCUCCGGGGGUAGAGCACUGUUUCGGCUAGGGGGCCAUCCCGGCUUACCAACCCGAUGCAAACUGCGAAUACCGGAGAAUGUUAUCACGGGAGACACACGGCGGGUGCUAACGUCCGUCGUGAAGAGGGAAACAACCCAGACCGCCAGCUAAGGUCCCAAAGUCAUGGUUAAGUGGGAAACGAUGUGGGAAGGCCCAGACAGCCAGGAUGUUGGCUUAGAAGCAGCCAUCAUUUAAAGAAAGCGUAAUAGCUCACUGGUCGAGUCGGCCUGCGCGGAAGAUGUAACGGGGCUAAACCAUGCACCGAAGCUGCGGCAGCGAACGUAUCACCCAAGACAACUUUACGGAGUUGACGAUUGACGGAGCGAAGCGACGUCAAAGCGUUCAUUAAAGUCGAGUUGGCUUAGGGAUACGUUCGUUGGGUAGGGGAGCGUUCUGUAAGCCUGUGAAGGUGUGUCGUGAGGCAUGCUGGAGGUAUCAGAAGUGCGAAUGCUGACAUAAGUAACGAUAAAGCGGGUGAAAAGCCCGCUCGCCGGAAGACCAAGGGUUCCUGUCCAACGUUAAUCGGGGCAGGGUGAGUCGACCCCUAAGGCGAGGCCGAAAGGCGUAGUCGAUGGGAAACGGGUUAAUAUUCCUGUACUUGGUGUUACUGCGAAGGGGGGACGGAGAAGGCUAUGUUGGCCGGGCGACGGUUGUCCCGGUUUAAGCGUGUAGGUGUGUGUUCCAGGUAAAUCCGGUUCACUUUAACACUGAGGCGUGACGACGAGGCACUACGGUGCUGAAGCAACAAAUGCCCUGCUUCCAGGAAAAGCCUCUAAGCAUCAGGUAACACGAAAUCGUACCCCAAACCGACACAGGUGGUCAGGUAGAGAAUACCAAGGCGCUUGAGAGAACUCGGGUGAAGGAACUAGGCAAAAUGGUGCCGUAACUUCGGGAGAAGGCACGCUGACACGUAGGUGAAGUGAUUUACUCAUGGAGCUGAAGUCAGUCGAAGAUACCAGCUGGCUGCAACUGUUUAUUAAAAACACAGCACUGUGCAAACACGAAAGUGGACGUAUACGGUGUGACGCCUGCCCGGUGCCGGAAGGUUAAUUGAUGGGGUCAGCG